rnacentral:rRNA from 1 species
GACGAACGCUGGCGGCGUGCUUAACACAUGCAAGUCGAACGAAGUGGCGAACGGGUGAGUAACGCGUAAUCAACCUGCCCUUCAGAGGGGGACAACAGUUGGGAACGACUGCUAAUACCGCAUACUGAAGGAGGGGAUUGCGUCUGAUUAGCUAGUUGGCGGGGUAACGGCCCACCAAGGCGAUGAUCAGUAGCCGGUGUGGGAAGAAGAACGGCAACAUUGGGACUGAGACACGGCCCAGACUCCGACGGGAGGCAGCAGUGGGGAAUCGGCCGCAAUGGACGAAAGUCUGACGGAGCAACGCCGCGUGAGUGAUGACUGCCUUCGGGUUGUAAAGCUCUGUUAAUCGGGACGCGGUACCGGAAUAGAAAGCCACGGCUAACUACGUGCCAGCAGCCGCGGUAAUGC